AGCCUUGCAAGAGGAACUUAAACAUAUCAAUAAGCGGAGGAAAAGAAACUAACAAGGAUUCCCCUAGUAACUGCGAGUGAAGCGGGAAAAGCUCAAAUUUUAAAUCUGGUGGCCCCGCCGCCCGAGUUGUAUUCUGGAGAAGCGACUUCCGCGCCGGACCGAGCACAAGUGCCUUGGAACAGGACGUCACAGAGGGUGAGAAUCCCGUCUUUGACACGAGACCCCCGGCGCUCUGCUAUGCGCUCUCGCAGAGUCGAGUGGUUUGGGAAUGCAGCUCAAAACGGGUGGUAAAUUCCAUCUAAAGCUAAAUAUUGGCGAGAGACCAGAUAGCGAACAAGUACCGUGAGGGAAAGACUGAAAAGCGACUUUGGAAAGAAGAGUAAAACAGUACGUGAAAUUGUGGAAAGGGAAACGCUUGAAGUCAGUCGCGUUGCGCCGGAACUCAACCUUGCUUCUGCUUGGCGCACUUUCCGGUCAGACGGGCCAGCAUAGGUUUCGUGGGGCGGACACUGGCGGGAUGAAGGUGGCGGCCCUGGCCGCGUAAUAACCACCCGUCCCGAACGCCCCGCGGGGCCGAGGAAUCCGGCGCGAGCCUGGGAUGCUGGCGUAAUGGCUUUAAUCGACCCGUCUUGAAACACGG
rnacentral:rRNA from 1 species